CAGAGCCCACCCACCAGUCUGCACCCAGCUGCGGACUAGGCGCCGCCCCCGCCCAGCUUCGGGCUGGGGGCUCCGGGGUCCCCGGCGACUGCUGGACCAGGGCCUGGUCUGGAGUGGUGUUCUGCACAGAGGAGCUACUCCGGAAAGAUCUGAAUGAAUGAGCAUGAAGAAGAUGCACAAAGUCUGCCAACUCCCACAGGCAUCUUUCUCUGCCCCUGUACAUGACAGUCUACUGGAGGCAAAUGGCACACCUGGUUAAGCGCACACAUUACCGUGCACAAGGACCUGCGUUCAAGCCCCUGGUCCCCACCUGUAGAGGGGGAAGCCUUACCAGUGGUGAAGCAGUGCUGUGGGUGUCUCUCCGUUCCUCUCCCUCAUUAUGUCCCCCUUCCUCUUGAUUUCUGUCUGUUUAUCAA